rnacentral:rRNA from 1 species
AGAGUUAGCCGUCUCUUCCUCUUGAGGUACUAUCAACCUUGCACGCUUCUCACGCACAAGGCUUGCUCCCUCAUGACAGCGGUUUACAAUCCGAAGACCUUCUUCCCGCACGCGGCGUCGCACCAUCAGGGUUUCCCCCAUUGUGAAUGAUUCUCGACUGCUGCCACCCGUAGGAGUCUGGACCGUGUCUCAGUUCCAGUGUGGCCGAUCAGCCUCUCAGCUCGGCUACCCAUCGUCGGCUUGGUGAGCCGUUACCUCACCAACUACCUAAUGGGACGCGAACCCCUCUUUCAGCGGAUUUCUCCUUUGACCUCAUCCCGAUGUCGGGUCGUGGUCUUAUGCGGUAUUAGCACUUGUUUCCAGGUGUUAUCCCCCUCUGUAAGGCAGGUUGUUCACGCGUUACUCACCCGUUCGCCACUAAGAUAAAACCGAAUUCUAUCUCCGUUCGACUUGCAUGUGUUAGGCACGCCGCCAGCGUUCGUCCUGAGCCAGGAUCAAACUCUGA